AGGCCCUUCCUGGUGACAAUGUUGGCUUCAACGUCAAGAACGUUGCUGUGAAGGAUCUCAAGCGUGGGUUUGUUGCAUCCAACUCCAAGGAUGACCCUGCCAAGGAGGCUGCCAACUUCACCUCCCAGGUCAUCAUCAUGAACCACCCUGGUCAGAUUGGCAACGGCUACGCCCCAGUGCUGGACUGCCACACCUCCCACAUUGCUGUGAAGUUUGCCGAGCUGGUGACCAAGAUCGACAGGCGAUCUGGUAAGGAGCUGGAGAAGGAGCCCAAGUUCUUGAAGAACGGUGAUGCUGGUAUCGUGAAGAUGAUUCCCACCAAGCCCAUGGUUGUGGAGACCUUCGCCAUGUACCCUCCUCUUGGUCGUUUUGCUGUGCGUGACAUGAGACAAACAGUUGCUGUUGGUGUCAUCAAGGGUGUGGAGAAGAAGGACCCAACCGGCGCCAAGGUCACCAAGGCGGCUGCCAAGAAGAAAUGAUUUGUUCUGUGUUGGGGAUUGAGAUGUCUGGCUGCAGUUUUAGUGUUUACUAAGUUUUGUCUAUGUGCAUUGCUCGUAUUGCUGAGACUCUUGAAACUAUGUAAGCAAUGUUCAUGUCUGUCGUUUAAAUACUGUAUUCCUAUUUCGGUUCGGUUAAAACCUGUGUGCUAUGAUGCUUGUGUCCUUUUAACUUCUCAGGGAUCUGAUUGCUUAGAUUGAACUUAGUUAACUCAUGUUCUGUUUCCUUGAUUUCUUCGCAAUUUGUUUUUGUUCUGCUAUUCCAUCUUUAUGUAGCAGCGUAGCCUGUAAUCAUGUGAUACGUUUAUGUCCUAAUUUUUCUUUUUUCACUGUUCUCCGUUUUUCUGAUUAGAGGUUGGUAGGUUUCUCCGCUUCUUUCGUCCGCAGCAGAUUUUCCACUUGUUGCCGCUGGCUUGAAGCUAGAGUACAUGGUAAUGUCAACCUAAAUUACUCUUGUUUUGUUCCACUGAAAUGUAACUCUACUUUCUUGGCUAUCUCGACGUUGGCCUCUUAAUCCGAGGAGAAGGGCACGUCUCCACAACUUAAUUGGAGACUCCUUUAACCGUUAUGCACUAAUUCUGCCAGGGGAGGAAGUUCCGGUCAUACCCCGGAAGUCCACCCUUGUUCCGGUUCAACCUCCGCCAAACACAAAUUAAUUCCAGUAGCAUCACGAAGGUAAGCCGGACGUAGGGUGGAAGUUCUGCCCUCCUGGAGGUAGGCCGGAAGUUCCGGGCCUGGAACAUGCUCCCUCUCGCAAGCGACCUGCUCAUCAAGGACUAAGAUUUGAAUCACACUUCAAUUUCCAAUCCGACAAUUCCAAGGAAGCCGGUUGUUCGCAUGAUAUCAAGAAGGAGCCAAGCAACUACCCGAUAAUCCAAACGUCUCAGGACCUAAUGAACACGGAGAACAUGAUCAUUGAAUUUACUUCUAAUGAUAUGUUUGGAGACCUAAACUAUUUCACCUACCUCCGAAAUAGAUAUCAUCAUAUUUACGUUCCUAAGUAUUGUUGUAAAUAAAUUAUAGUGACCGUUGUCAUCUAUAUUGUAAUAUUAAAUUAUUGUAUCAGCACUUUGGUACCCACAUAUUUGACAUAUGUAUUGUAAAUUAUGAUGUUGUAUUAUCAAUUUAAUACAUAAAUAAAUUUGUAUGUAUUCUAUAUAUCCAUUAAAAUUUAUAUUAAAUUCUUCCUUUUUUCCAUAUAUAGUUUUCUACGGGAGUCAAUCCAAAAUGGCCGAAGAACUUUGUCUUGUGGAAAGCGCUACCACAAACACUAUACUUAGGGAAGCAAAAUAUUUUCAAAUCCUUAGUAAAACAGAAGGGAAUAUUUUGACAAUCGCUGGACGCGAUACAUUAAUUGUUGGCUCUGGACGUGCCAUCAUCACACUUCCUAUGGGUACACAUGUAAUAUUCGAGAACACUUUAUUGUAUCCCGAUUCAACACGUACUCUAAUAAGCUAUAGGGAUAUCCGUCAAAAUGGGAUUCAUAUUGAAACCCACGAUGACAACAAUGAGUAAUUUCUCCUAUUUACAAAAAGUAACGCAUAUGUCAAUCAAAUUCUUGGAAAAAUUCCUUCUUUAUCGUCCGGAUUGUACUAUACAUACAUAAAACAUGUAGCCCAUGUUGCGUAUAAAAUAACUUUUCAGAAUGUCAAUACAUUCCAGACUUGGCAUGAUCGCCUUGGUCACCCCGGUAUUGGGAUGAUACGAAAAAUUAUUAAUAAUUCUGUUGGUCAUAAUCUUAAUAAAGCAAAAUUCCCAAAAUCUCAAGAUUUUGUGUGCACAGUAUGUGCACAAGGCAAGCUCAUUUUAAGACCUUCUUAUCUUAAAAUACAAGCGGAACCACUCCAAUUCCUUGAUCGAAUUGAAGGAGAUAUUUUUGGUCUAUCCAACCAUUGUCUGGACCAUUUAGGUAUUUUUAGGUCUUAAUUGACGCAUCUACAAGAUGGUCUAAUAUGUGUCUACUUUCCACACGUAACCAUGCAUUCGCAAAGAUAAUGAGCCAAGCAAUUAAACUAAAAGCUCAUUAUCCAGAACAUCGAAUUAAAACAAUUCGAAUGGACAAUGCCGCUGAAUUCUCCUCACGCGCCUUCGAUGAUUAUUGCAUGGCAUUAGGAAUCGAAGUUCAGCACUCAGUCCCAUAUGUCCACACACAAAAUGGUUUGGCUGAAUCUUUUAUUAAGAGAAUUAAGUUUAUUGUAAGAUCUUUAUUACAUAAUUGUAAUUUACCAACAACUUGUUGGGGUCAUGCGGUUAUACAUGCCGCUGAUUUAAUUCAAUUGCGACCAAGUGCAGAUCAUACUAUUUCUCCCCUUCAAUUAGUACAUGGGAAUCCACCAAGUAUUUCCCAUAUGCGAAAAUUCGGUUGUGAUACAUACGUACCGAUCUCACCACCACAACGUACAUCAAUGGGGCCACAUAGAAAAUUGGGGAUCUAUGUGGGGUACAAAUCACCGUCAAUUAUCGAGUACCCAGAACCUCUCACAAGGGAUCUAUUCACUGCCCGGUACGCUGAUUGUAUUUUUAAUGAGGAUCAUUUCCCAGCAUUAGAGGGAGAAUUAAAGUACCAAAAAAAGAAUGCUAGGAAAUCAACUGAAAUGUCCAAGGCAUUUCCGCCUCAGAUCCAUGUACUCAAGAAACUGAACAACAGGUUUAGAAAAUUAUAAAUUUGCAACAUAUUGCAAACAAUUUACCAGACGCAUUUGUUGAUUACAAAGGUGUCACUAAAUCCUAUAAUCCUGCAAAGUACGUACCCGAAAGAGUGGAAGUACCUAUAAAAACUACUCAACCUCCUGCACCUACCAUUCAAAGGAAGAGGGGGAGAGGUACGACAACUAAAAAGGAUCUAGCUUCCAGCAAGCAACAAAAGGAAGACAAACGAAGGAGCCGCGGCAAAGAAAACAGAAGAAUAACCUUCUGAACCUCCUUCUACAACAACAAAUGUGAGUCAAUAUUUGAUUGACCGAGAUCAAUUGGGUAAUAUACACCUAGUGAAUAACCAACAUCCACAACUCAGCUCAAUAGUGCACUCAAUUACUGAUGCUGGGAUAUCGGAAAACCUGGACUUAACCGCAAUGGGAAAUCGCGAACAGUCAUCAAAGGUAAACGAAAUUUUCACAAAUUACUUAGACACUGGAGAAAUAUACAAUAGAAAGACUACGUUUGUCGACACUUAUUUCUCUACUAAGAUUAUAAAAAACCUUCUAAAUGAUCAUGAUCCAAAGAUCAUAGCCGCGCGCGUCAUGGUGCACUACGAGCCACCGCAAGGCACAACGGCGCAUGAAGCGUGGAGUGUAGAGCUGGACGCGCUCCUCGCACUCGCCGCCCAGCAGCCGCAAGGCGAGGGCGCCCCGGCCGGUUCAGGUCGGGGGUAGAACCCGGGACGCGGAGAUGCGCCCCGCGUCUCAAGGCAUGGAGAGCACCCUCCCCCGCAGAGAGGGCAAGGAGGCGAGGAUCCCGAGGGGUCCUCGGAUUCGUCCACCGACUGUUACACGGGGUGACGCGCGGGAUAUCCUGAACGCCCGCCAGCAAGAAAACCUCCGCCAGCGCUUGGAGCGCCGGUGCCGGCGUGAGGCAGAACGCCAACGCCCAGAAGAGUAGGAGGAUGCUCCCAUGGGCGCCGAGGAUGACUGCGCCGCAUUUACUCACGAGCUGCGCCAGGUGACAUGGCCCCGCAAGUUCUGAGCACCGACGCUUGGGACGUACGACGGGACUGUGAACCCCAAGAAUUUUCUCCUGACCUACACGUUGGGGAUGCACGCCAUCAACGCCGAUGACAAGAUCAUGGCCAACUGGUUCCCGAUGGUCCUUAAGGGAUCAGCGAGGACCUGGUUGCUCAACCUGCCCGCCGGGUCCAUAGCCUCUUGGGCUGACCUGCGCGAGCAGUUUGUGAACGCGUUCCAUGGCGGAGCUGCACGCGGUCGUGCAGAAACCGGGUGAGACGUUGCGGAGCUUCAUGAACCGCUUCUCCAGUCUCUCCUACUCCAUCGCUGAGGCGGAGGCUGCCGCCAUCAUCAACACCUUCGCCAUCAACGUCCGUGACCCCAAGAUGCGUGACAAGCUGAGCACGCACCGGAUCCGGACGACGCAUGAGCUCUACGCCUUGGCGCACAAGUGCGCCAUGGCCGAGGAAGGGCGCUUGGCGCCCGAACUUGCAGCUAAGGCUGCCGCGAGUCCCGCUGAGGGCUCGCAGAAGAAGGGCUCCCGGAAGCGCAGCGGGAAGCAAGUGCUUGCCGGGGAACCGGGGGCUGCCUCGAGGCCUGCUAAAAAGGCCUCAUCCGCUGGCGGGUCUGGUGGCAAACCGGGCGAUGCGCCCCGCUGCCCCAUCCACGCCAAUGCCACCCAUGACGCGCAGGAUUGCCGCAUCCUGCAAGGUAUCAAGCAGAGGCACGAGCAGCGCCGGGCAGCCGACGCCUACUUCAACUGUGGGGACAUGGGGCAUCUCUCUCGCGAUUGCCCAAAUGACCCCAGAGCUGGAGCGAAGCCUGCCGGCGGAGAUGCCAGCAGAGAAGAAGCCCAGGGGGGUCGCAGCCAAGCCCGUGCCGGCAGGGACCGGCCUCCCCGGGGACGAGACAAGGCUCACGCUGAUGAGCAGCGCGGGUCCGAUUAUAGCGAGGGUGACGAGCCCGGCUUCCAGGAGCCCCGUGGCGUCACCUGCAUCCAUGGGGGAGCUUACGCUCUCCCAUCCUAUAGCGCGGUUAAGUGCCUCACCCGGGAGGUGUGUGUGCUGUUGCCGGACAUGGAGACGCAUCAGCCGUUGAAGUGGUCGCACGUGCCGAUCGCCUUCAACUCUGACGAUCACCCAGCCCGGCAACUGGGGUCAGGGGUUCUGCCCUUCGUGGUCUCACCAAUCAUCAACAACAUGACGGUGACCAAGGUGCUGGUGGACAACGGAGCGGGGUUAAACCACCUGUCCGCCAGGUUGGUGGAGAAGCUUCAGCUGCCGCUGGAGCAGAUGAAGUCCACCGACCCAUUCCGGGGGGUGAACCCCGGGAUUGUGCGCCCGCUGGGGCGCAUCACGCUGCCGGUUACCUUCGGGUCCCGGAAAGCAUUUAGAACUGAGCACCUCGUAUUUGACGUGGCUCACACCCCAUUGCCGUACAACGGAAUCCUUGGUCGGCCAUCGUUGAUCAAGUUCAUGGCGGCAACCCAUUGCGCUUAUGGCGUGAUGAAGAUGCCGUCCACAUACGGGUUCCUCUCCAUCAAGUGUGAUCUCAAGGACGUGGCUUGGUGUGUUGGCGAGGUCGUCAAGGCCGCCGUCGAUUCCGGUGAUGAGGGCGUCGCCGGAAGCGAAGGCUCACUGCCGGGCGAUCACCCCGCAGCGAAGAAGGCUCGUGUUACCCCGCAACCACUAGCUGGGGGAAGCACAAGUUCGAGCUCAUGCCCCGGGAAGGGCAAGAAGCUCAAGGGGGAGGCCGCCAAGGUGAAGAAGCUGCCCCUCCAAGCCGGCAACGAGGAGCGCACCGUCACCAUCGGUGCGAACCUCAAUGCCAAAUAGGAAAGCGCCCUCAUCACUUUCCUCCGGAAGAACUCCGACGUGUUCGCCUCGGAACCAUCGGAUCUUCCCGGAGUCCCUAGGAAGGUGAUCGAGCAUCGACUGGCGGUGCGUCCAGACGCCCGCCCCGUGAAGCAGAAGGUCCGCCGGCAAGCACAGGAGCGCAAAGACUUCAUCAAGCAAGAAGUUGACAAGCUAAAGGCCGCGGGGGCUAUCAAGAAAGUACUGUACGCCACUUGGUUAGCAAACCCAGUUGUAGUACCCAAGGGGGAAAAUAAACUGCGCAUGUGUGUAGACUUUACCGAUUUAGAUCGUGCAUGUCCUAAAGACCCUUUCCCUUUACCCCGCAUUGAUCAAAUAGUAGAUCCCACUGCCGGUUGUGAUUUGUUGUGUUUUUUGGAUGCUUUUUCCGGCUACCAUCAAAUUAAUAUGGCAGUCGAGGACGAGGAGAAAACGGCGUUCAUCACACCGGUUGGCUGCUACUGUUACACGUGCAUGACUUUUGGGUUGAAGAACGCGGGCUCAACAUUCCAGCGUGCCUUAUGCGAAUGCUUAGGACGCCAGCUAGGCCGAAACGUUGAGGCCUACAUUGAUGAUAUCAUCAUCAAGUCAAAGCGCAGGGACUCGCUUAGUGAUGACCCGCGGGAGACAUUUGAUAACCUCCGCAGGAUCAAGCUCAAGUUGAACUCUGAGAAGUGCACCUUUGGUGUAGAGUCGGGGCAGCUUUUGGGUUUCUUGGUUUCACACAGGAGGAUUCAAGCCAACCCAAAUAAGAUAGAAGCUAUCAAGAGAAUGGAGGCUCCCCGCUAGGUGAAGGACGUCCAGCGCCUCAACGUCUGCGUUGCCGUGCUGGGGCACUUCAUUUCAAGGCUGGGCGAACGCGUCCUGACUUUCUUCAAGGUAAUGAAGAAGAAGGGCCCAAUCAAUUGUACCCCCGAGGCUGAGGUGCCGUUCCAGGACCUGAAGCGGUACCUCAAGUCGCCGCCUAUCCUCGUCGCCCCCAACCCGGGCGAGCCGCUGCUGCUCUACCUAGCGGCGACUUACCAAGUGGUCAGCUCGGUGCUUGUCGCCGAGAGAGAAGAAGAUCUCCCGGGGGCUGGGGUUGCGGGGCAGGGGGCUGAGCCAGUCCUGGCAACCGCCUCGGACCCGGGAACCGCCACUGAGCCGGCGGCGUCGAUACCCCGCAAGCGGCUCACGCAGCACCCGGUGUACUUCGUCAGCACGGUGUUGCGCGAUGCCCGCGUGCGGUACCCGCAAGUGCAGAAGCUCUUGCUGCGGAUUCUGCUUGCAUCCCGCAAGCUGCGCCACUACUUCCAGGCACACCGCGUCACGGUGGUGUCAGGGUUCUGCCUCGAGCGGCCCCUCACCAACUGUGAAGCCAUCGGGAGGGUGGCCGAGUGGAGGAUGGAGCUGUCGGAGUUUGAUCCGCACUUCACGGAUACCAAGAGUAUCAAGAGUGCCGCUCUGGCUGAUUUCGUUGCAGAGUGGACCUCGACGAGUAUAGAAGAAGAGGAGCCGGAGACCAGCCUGCCCGGCAGGCUGAACGAAGGCCACUGGGUCAUGUACUUCGACGGCGUGUUCAGCCUGCAGGGGGCUGGCGCCGGAGUCGUCAUCGAGUCGCCCACGGUAGACCAGUUGAAGUUCGCCAUCCAACUCAACUUCCCCAACUCCACCAACAACACAGCUGAGUAUGAGGGGUUGCUCGCAGGGUUGCGGGUGGCGAUCGCCCUCGAUAUUAAGCACCUGGUUGUCCGCGGGGAUUCGCAGCUCGUGAUCAACCAGGUUAACAAGAACUACGAGUGCCCGCAGAUGGCAGCGUACGUGGAUGAAGUCCGCAAGCUAGAACACAAGUUCAAGGGUUUGCGAUUCGAGCACAUCAAGCGCAAGGAUAACUUCGCGGCUGAUGAACUGUCCAAGUGGGCAGCAGAGCGUCGGAAGGUCCCGACGGGAGUGUUCUGGCACAGGCAGACUGCGCCUUCAGUCACUCCCAAGCUGGCUGCAAGGGAAGCCCCCCCGGCAACCGACGGAAACCCGGCAACAGCGGAGGUCCAUGCGGCCGAUGUGGCGGCAUGCACGAGCAGGGAAACCCCGCCUUGGGCGGUGGACAUCGCCCGCUACCUCAAGGGGGAAGCCCUCCCGGAAGACGACGUUACCGCAGAGCGCGUAGCCCGGCAAGCCAAGAUGUACGCUCUGGUAGACGGGAAUCUCUACCGGAGGUGUGCAAACGGAGUAAAACUCCUUUGCGUGCCCCAAGACGAAGGGCGCGCACUCCUGGAAGAUAUACACCGAGGCACAUGCUCGCACCAUGUGGCCCCCCGGGCUUUUCGGCACGGCUUCUACUGGCCUACAGCACUAGCCGAUGCCGAGUAACUGGUCAAGACAUGCGAGGCGUGCCAAUUCCAUGCGAAGAAGAGUAAUCAACCGGCCCAAGCCCUGCAAGUCAUUCCAUCCUCCUGGCCGUUCACGGUCUGGGAGCUGGACACCGUCGGCAAGCUGCCGAGAGCGGUUGGCGGCUACAAUUAUUUGCUCGUGGCCAUCGACAAGUUCUCCAAGUGGGUGGAGGUGGAACCAGUGCGGAAGGUGAUCGCUCAGGCGGCCAUGAAGUUCCUCAAGGGCAUUGUGUGUCGGUUUGGUGUGCCUAACGGCAUCAUGACCGAUAAUGGCACACAAUUUACGAGCGCCGUGUUCCAAGCUUACUGCGAGGGCAUGGGCACCAAAAUCCACUUCGCCUCGGUUGCUCACCUGAGGAGCAACGGACAGGCGGAGAGAGCCAACGCAGAGGUGCUGCGGGGGCUCAAGACAAGAACCUUUGACAAGCUCAAUGGCCACGAGAAGCACUGGAUUGAAGAACUCCAGCCCGUGCUGUGGUCGAUCAGGACCACACCUAGCCGGGCAACGGGUGAAACUUCUUUCACCCUUAUCUACGGGGCAGAAGCGGUGCUGCCCCUCGAGCUCAAGCAUGGAUCCCCUCGGGUACGCGCGUACGGCGAGCAGAGCCAACACGAGUAGAGGGUUGACGAUCUUAACUUCAUCGAAGAACUUCGCCGUUAUCAUGACAGGCGAGUCCGUACCCGGGAGCUCGAGGUCGGAGACCUUGUCCUGCGCUGGAUACAAGGAACGAAGGCCGGGAACAAGCUGGCUCCGAAAUGGGAGGGCCCCUUCCGGGUAGUGCAGGUGACCAGACCGGGGGCUGUCCGGCUGGAAACCGAAGAAGGCUUGCCGGUGCAAAAUAGUUGGAAUCUUGAGCACUUGCGCAAGUUCUACCCGUGAAGCGGUGGAGCCUGUCCCACGUGUGAUGCUACUGCAGCAUGCCUCUCGAACUAGUUUCUAUGACUAAAGAUAAGUAAUGUCCCCUGAAUUUAAAGUUGUCUCGUUAUGGCAUGUUUUUUCUUCUGUCUCCUGCUCUAGGUGCACAGAAGUCUCUUUCCAUCCUUGGCUGUGAGCAGGGAGCUGCCGGAGCCUCGAAAACAAAAAUCCCGUUGCCGGAUCACUCCGGCACAGGGUUGUGACGUUGCCGGGUUCCCCGCAACGCGCGCCAUGCAGCAGCUGCGUCCUAGGAGUAUCGACCCUUCUGUGCCCGGGGGCUGGGAGGCCGGAGGGUAAUUCGUGUUGCGCCUUUUUUCGUGUAUUUCGAAUUUUUUUUGCAGCAUCUCGGGCUUGGUAAGAAUUUGACAUGCAGGGUAAGGAUAGGGAUCAGACACACGGUGAUACUCGUGGAGUACUCACGGGCCGUGUCAUCUAGCGGGCCGUCACUGGUGCGUGGCGACCACUUCGAGGCUCUUAACACAGGAGGCUGUCGCCAUGGGUGCCGCGGUAGCUCGGCGCGCGUGGCAGCGGGAUUCCCACCGUGCCUAUAAAAGGGCAUGGUGGCCACGGAGCAACUCAGAGCAAAGCUAAAAAAAUGGCGAGUGGUGCGGUAGAGAAGCGGUGGUGGUGCAUUUCUCCGCGCACAAGCGCCGAGGAUGUUCCCGCCAUCGCGUCCCUGCCACAUCACUCCACCAAGCGUCUCCAAGGUGGGGGUUGCCGCAGAGACGCGAUGGCGGUGCAUGCCAUCAGUGCCCAGCGCCGAUGGGUGCAGUGCCAUCUCAGCCUUGCCGCAUCCCCUCGGCAAGCGGAUCCAAGGCGAGGGUUGCCGCAGAGACGCUAGCGCGGUGCAUUCCAUCAGUGCUCAGCGCCGAUGGGUGCACUGCCACAGUGCCCUUGCCGCACCCCUCCAGUAGGCGUUCCAAGUACAGAACCGACAUGUUCAGCAAGAGAACAGACAGCUAAGUGCUUUAUCCUAGGUGCCUACUCUUCUAGUCUCAACGCUGCCUCGUUGGUGUGGGUCGUGUCGGCUGGAGUGUUAGAAGGAUGCUUGCGGGGGGAGUGCGCUCCUCAUGCGGCUUAUGGGUCCGUCCCAUAGGCGCGUGCUUGGGAGUAGCUAACCCGCAAGUGGAGCGGCUCGCCGCUGCUGCUUGACCUUAGGUUGGCACUGCGGGUCCGUCUCGGGUCCCUGGUCUGGUUAAGUGAGUAACGUGCGAGUCCCCGGCAACACAAAGCAUAACACACGAGGACGGGAAGACCCACCCCGCGAGUCAAUUUCAGGAGCAAAUACCAAGUAGAACCAGAAAGCGGAAUUUGUAAAAGUAGCAAACGAUUACAUGGGCUAAUGAAACCAUAAUUGUUUAACGGCGCCAAGUGCCAGUUGCAGGAAAUGAAAAUAAAACAAAAGAUAGCAGGAAACUAUGACGACUUGCUGCCGGGGUCUUCCGCUGGGGGCUCCGGCUUCCGCUGCAUCCGCUCCACCACCUCGUCGACGAACCUGCCCACCGCCUUGGUGUGGGAGGGACCGUCCUCGCUGUUCGACCACGCGUCCAGCAACGCCUCAAAGGGGAAGUCGGGGUGGUAGUAGUGCACCCGGGGGAGGAUCGUCUCGGCGAUCUCUCUGGCGCACGACGCUAUCUCCCCGUCGCAGAACUUGGAGAUCCACACGUCCAGCGCCACGAGCUUUCCCACCAUGUUAGAGAAGAAUGGGAUCAGGCUGCAGCGCGCGAACAGCCUGGGCGAUCUCAUGCAGCUUCUCAGUCUCCCUCCGCCGCUGCUCCGCCAACUUGUCGUGGUUGGUGCGUGACAACGCCUCCGCAAGCGUGGCCUUGCGGAGGAGUUCCGUGAGCUGCACGAUCUCCUUGGCCUUGCACACAUUGUCCUCGCCAGUCUUGACGAGCUCGCCCUGGGCAGUGGACAGCUCGGACUCGAGAUGGGCGCUCUUCUCCUUGGCGAAAUUGAUCUCCCCCACGAGUUCGCACUCCCGGGUUGGGAACUGCUCCCGCCGCUCCUUCUCCCGCCGCGUCCUCUGCAGCCUUGGCCUGGUCCUCCAGCUUCGCGCGCAACUCUUGGAGUUGGGAGGAGUAGCCACUGACCAGCUCGCUCUUCUCGUUGAGGUUAGCUUGAGCUGUAGCCAGCACGUCUUCGUGCUCCUUGUCGGCCUUCUCCCGCACCGCGGCCAGCGAGUCCAGUACCUGCUGGUGCUCGGCGCGUUGGGCCUCCAGCUGCCGGAGGAGCUUCGCCUCGAGGACAACUGGCAUGGUGGCCUCGUCCCUGGCCUGCCAGGCCUGCCGGGUCUCCUCCCUUAGCCAGGAGAGCUCCUGCCUCUCCCUCUCGACAUCCAGCCGCACCUCACCCAGUUGGAGCUUCGCGAGCUCGUGGUGCUCCCUCACCUUCUUGAACGAGGUGACGAACGACAGUUGCUGCUUCUUGAUGGCGUCGAGGAAUUGGUGCCCCUGAUCGUAGAUGCUUGGGUCCCAAGUCGCCCCGGCAAGAAUGUCGAGGUCUGGCCUGGAGUUAGCGACGGACGACGACGAGACCCCCGCCGCCAUGGUUUGGGCAGGGGGAGCAUCGUCCCCUUGCGGGGGAGGGGGGGGCGCUGCCAGCUGCUCCUCAGACACGUCCUCUUCCACACCCGCGCCCGUGGGUUGCGGGUCCGGUGGAGGGGCCACGCUCCCGACAGGAGUCGUCUCCUGCAGGGCGGCCGCAGGACUCGCGCCCCCGACCUGCAAGGCCGGGGACGCGCCACUGAGCCCUGCUCCGAUAGCGGUGGCGGGCGCCACCACCGUCACGUCUGGGCCGACGGGGCUUGGUGCGGGAGCCACCUCCGGCUAGUCACUCCCCUCUGCGUCCUCAACGUCAGAGGUGAGGUCGAUCACCGUAUCGUCUGCCCCAGUGGAGGGCGCAUCGGGACCUGCGACAAGGGCAGAGUAAGUACCUCAAGCUAAGAUGGGGUACCCGGCAACGAGCGCAAGGGAGUCCUGGAUGUGUACCUUGUAGGGUCGCCGCGCUUGCGGGGGGAGGCUUGUACCCCCUGUCCCGGCUUCUGCUGCCGGGCUGUCCCCGCAGGCUGAGUUUCGCCUACAAGCCAAGGCAAACAUGCGGUUAGGGGUCGAUGUGCUGAAGGAGCAUGUACAGUGGAGUCAGGGGAGGGGUCUGUACCUGCUGCGGGCUCCUCCUCCUCUGGGACCGGGUUGGCGACAGGCGUAGUGGCGGUGCCGCUGGUCCUCGUGCCGGUCUGACUGGCAGUGGCACUGGCCCGGGUGCGCGGUUUCUUACGGGGCGCGGCUGGUGCAGUGUUGGUUCUCCCCCUCUUGCCGGCUCCCGCCGGAGCGUUGUCCCUGCAAGGCAUCAACGAAGAAACAAAGGAAUCAAGGCAAGCACAAACUCGUAAAGAGAAGUGGGGAGAAAGCGUCAGCUUACCUUGGGGGUUUGAGCCUGAGCGAGUAACCCGUGAAGAUUCCCCGCUUGGGCGGGGCCACGGACCCUAGUGGAGUUGCCGCGGCAGCCGCCGAGGCGCCCGCAGCCGUUGCAGAGGUAGUUGCUGCAGCCGACGCUCUGGGUCGCCGCACCAGCGGCACGUUGUCCUCGUCCUCCACCUCCGCCUCGAGGAGGACUGUCCUGGCCCCGACAAAGCCGCCCGCCUCGUCGCCGGGCCCGCUGGAAUCCGAUCCCCCCUCGCUCUCCUCGGCACUUGCUUCCCACGGACUGCGGGUGGCGGAGGUUUCGGGGCUGGGACCGGGGGAUCAGACAUCAGCCCCCACUCGUUUGUAACAGCCCGAGAGCAACCUUUUUCCUUUUAAGCCCUUUUGGACUGUUUUGUAAUUUAAUUGUUGUCAUCAUGUUGUCGUGCUCAUGUCAUCAUAAUUAUUUUGCCAUGUCAUUAGCAUCAUCUCAUAUUUCGUUUGCACGAAAUGUCACUUCUGUUGUGUUGUCGUGUGUUUGCCUUUUCGCGUGUUCGCGAAAGCCUAAAAAUUAUUUUUAUACAAAACCUAAUUUGGUUUGAAAAAAUAAAUCCGGGUUAAUUAGACCACUUGGCUCUUGUCUUGUUUGUUGCGAGAAUCUAAAUUUGCAAAACGUGUAUUUUUUGUUUGAGACUUUUGUUUGCCCAAAAUCCCACCUAGCAAACCCUAACCCUAACUUUUCUCCUUUUCCCUUUCCUCUUUUUCUUUCUCCUCUUUUCAUUUCUGGCCGCCGCCACCCUGCUUCCUCCCUCUCUGUUCUUCUUCUUCCUCCCGAAGCUUCCUCCCAGUCACCUCCCUUCUUCUUCCAUGGCAGGCGCCCCCCGAGCUCCUCUGCGCCCCGCGCCGCCUGGCCGCGGCAUCCCCGCGCGCGCCUCCCCGUCGCCCGCGUCCGCCCUUGAGCUUCCUUUCCCCGGCCGUCCCUCUCCCUCGGGCUCCCUCUUCCCCGCGCGCCGCCCCUACCCGUCGCGCGCGUCCACCUCGCCGCCGCCUGCUGCCCCUGGCCGGCGCCGCUUCUCCCCGUCGCCCCCUCUCCUGCUGCCCCUGGCCGGCGCCGCUUCUCCCCGUCGCCCCCUCUCCUGCUGCCCCUGGUCGGCGCCCGUCCUCGCUCCCCACGCACGCCCCUGUCGCCGAGCUCGCCUACCCGCACAGCUCUGCCCCUUCGCAGCCGAGCGCCCUUGGCUGCUGCUCGCUCGCCCGCGAGCCCCACGCGCGCCCUCCUCCCUCUUCCGUGGCCGCCUCGCCCCGCCGUCGACCACCAUCACCUCGCCGCGCGCCCCUCCUCUCUUCUCUCCCCGCGCCUGCCGCCUCCCGCGCGAGCUCACCGCCGGCAGCGCAUCUCCUCUGCCGCCUGCCGCGAAGCGCCUCCAAGCUCCUUGCUCCGCCCCGAUGCCGUCGCCCUCGCUCCAGCCUCCUCUGCCUCCAGCACGCUGCUGCCGCCCGGCGUGCUGGCCUAGCCCAGCCCGGACCAGGCCCGAGCAAGCCCGGCUCGCCCAAGCCCAAGCCAGAUCCAAGCCCAGGCCGGUGCCCUCUUUUCCUUUUUCUUCUUUUCCUAAAAUUGUUAAACCUUGACGUGUGGGCCCUGCUUGUCAGUCUGUGUGCUGCUGUUUGUUGCCGCUGCUCCGCGUCGAGCCGCCAUGCUGCUGCACUUCGUCGACGCCCGCGAAGACCACAUCGCUUUAGAGAUGAAGCCGCGCGACUACAUCGCCUACGUGAACGACUACCUUGCCGUGAACGACUAUGUUGCCUACGUGAACAACUACUUGGACUACGCCGACCACGUGUACGACUACCUCGCCCGUACGACUACUUCCUCUACGUCGACUACUUCGUCUACCACGCGACGCCGCAACGAGUCCAAGGUAUAACGAGCAACCGUCCCGUGAAUCAACCGUUCUUCGGCGUAGACCCUUAGGUUGCGAUUGUCGAUAUGGCAUGUGUUGUAUGAGAUGUCGUGUAUGUACCGAUAAUAUCGAUAGAUGCAGGUACCUUGUUUCCAUUAGUGUGUGCAACCCCGACCUAGUCGGAUCAUUGUGUUGUUCUUGUCUUAAAGCAUGCAUCGCACCUAUUCAUGUCAUUGUCAUGCAUGCUAAUACAACUAUCACAUUGUUGUGUGUAGUUAAUCAAUUAAACUCUAUUCCUUGCAUAUGAAGUUGUUUAGAUGCUAUGUGUAUUAUUUUCGGACUCCAUUUAACUUGGUAAAUUGUAAAUCGGAUUUACUAUCGGAAUACUUAAUAUGUCAUGCAUCAUCCUUAUGUCACGCAUCAUCCCUUGAUUGCGCAUAUUAAUUACCAUGUGUAUCGUGUAUGCUUAUACUUUUCUUUUAUGUCGUGUAUUUGCUUCUUCCUCGCUAGUCUUCGAUUCCUACGACGAUGACGACUAUGCUUGUGUUCUUCUUCCAGGGUUCUUGCUCAAUUCCGGGCAAUUGAGUACUCCAGGCAAGCAGCCCUUCCUUGACCAUGUUGACUAUACCCAAUGCCUCUCUUUCAUUCUUGCACUAAGUUACGUUCUCAGUCUGGUCACGAUGCCUCUAGGAUUGCAUAGCUUUUAGUCAGCUCUACUCAAAUACCUUUGUCUUGUUACUUGUCCUAUUACCAUGUCACAUGUUUGUUGUUGCCCUACCUCUUGGUCAUUAGAUGUCAUGCUUAGUCGCGAGUCUGGUGUCCUUUUAUCUGGGGUCCCACAAUUGCUACAUCCACAUGCUACUCCCUAUAUUUAAAUUGCAAUUAUUAAACUGUGACCUGUUAUUACCUGCCCAAGGCAACGAUGGGAGGCCGUGCUAAUGCAUUGGUGUUUUGUUCCGUUGGCGCCGACCUAAGUACCGAGUUCUCGUUUUCGCCGACCCAAGAAACUUCGCGCUAACCGCUCGUGAGAGAAUAUAUGGGUUCUACCUCGGCUUAGUACUCGUUUCAUAACUCUUCCAGGGGCCACAUAGUUCGGGCGUUCCAUUUGGCAUAUCGCAUAUACACUGGUGUUGUGUUUGAAGACUUGUUGGUGACUUUGCAUACAUAUAGGACUGCGGCACACGUCUGGAGUGGUCAUUCUGCGGACAUUGAACCACUACCAGCUGUUCCCGCAACUCUUGAGUCUGUAUGACGCUUCGGCCGGGUUCUCGUUUCGGAUUAGACUCAGUUGGGUGGUUCCCUGAAUUAGUUGUGGGGCUUGGAAACGUCGUGUCGCUCAAUCCUGCCGGCACCUAUUUUGCGUGUGUUCCAUGCUAGUGGCAUCAAGGGUUGGACGAACGUGUACGGGUAAAUUGGUACACACUGCAGGGAUAAAUCUUUCGGAAAGCCAUGUCCGCGGUCAUGGACGACUUGGUUGGUCAUUACUUGAUCAUAGAGAACUCAAUCAAUUUAAUCAACUUAAUCUCAUAAACUUGAGUACUAAUUAGCCUUAAUCAUGGAUAUGCUUAAAACUGCUUAAGUGUGAGUGUCCUUUGGAUUGCUUCCUCACAGGGUGUUGAGGGGUGAUAUGAGGAUUGUGUUGUUUGGUGUUUAGUAAAUAGGUUAAUCGCCUCACCUUGUAUACGCUUCUCAUCCUCUCAUUAGACGUUGUUAUUAGAGUGUCUCUCCAGAUAUUGUUGCUGCUGCAUAACCCCACCAUAUUAUCCAUCCUUUGAGACUUGUUGCAUACUAGCAUAGAUCUCCCCGUAAGUCUUGCGAGUACUUUGUACUCAGUUGCUUUGCAACGUUGUUUUCUUCAGAGCUUCCAGCAGAGCAGGUGAGCCGCUAGAUUCUUCGUGGAGCACGACGUUGGAUUCGAUGUUUGGCCAGGAGAUCCAGAUCAGGGUUCUAAGACUCGUGGCGGGUUUCUUUCCAGCUUCCAGCCUCUUCAGGCCAUGUUGUAUUCUUGUCCGUACUCGGGCAUAAUUCGACUUCCGCUGAUGUAAUGAUGUAAUGUUGGGACAUGUGUCCUCUCUUCGUAAUAAUGGUUAUUCUGCUCCUUGUAUGAGCUUUGUAAUUACUCUUUUCUGUAGAGUUUUGGUAAUGAUAUUCAUGUUGAAAAAUCCUGCGGUGAGCACAUUAAUGCAUGUAUGUAUUGAAGUGUUUAUCGUAGGUUAAGAACCUGAGGCUUAAAUUAUGCAAGGUUAGCAAUUUGGGCCUAAAUUGUAUAGUUCCGGUCCCGGGGUCUUACAUCGUUGCAGGGUGGGUAGCUGCCGAUGAUGUCGUGGAGGCCCGCGACGCCGACGUGAAGGGAUGGAGCCCCCGGGGGCAGCUCCGUGAAUGGGACGUCCUUGCCAGUUAUUCCCUUCACCCACUCCUGGAUCACCUCCGGCGUCACACCCACGCUUUGCAGGCGCGUGGUGUCGCCGGGCCCCGUGUACAUCCACGCGGGGUGGGACCGCAGCUGCAGCAGCGCGAUGCGCCGGCUGAUGUAGGUGCGCGCCACGUCCAGAUCGGUGAGCCCCGCUAGCCGCAUGGCCAUGAUCUUCUUGAUGAUGGGAAGGAGUUCCGCGUCUCGGCUGUAGCGGUCCCGCCAGCUGCCGUUACUCGCCGGCAGCUCGGUGGCGCAUGAACGGCAGCUCGGUGGCGCAUGAAUGAACUCGUCAGGCUCAUCUACGCGAACCCAACACCAGCUCCCGCGCCACUCCUUCUCGAUCUUCUUCUCACUCCGCACGAUGAACUCCGACUUCAUCUUGUCACGGGCGCGGAACGAGACCCCCGACGACAUCGCUCCCGACUGCUCGAUGUGCGGGUAGAAGUAAUGGCGGAACAACGCCACCGAUGGCAUCACCCUGACAAACCCCUCACAGAGGAAUUGGAAGACAGCGAGAAGGAGAGAGAAGUGAGGUGAAGCUGCGCAACCUUAAGCUGGUAAGCCGCCAUGAGAGCAUGGACGAAGAGGGAGUACGGAGGUACGAACCCAGCGAGGAUGAAGCGGCCGAACACCCGGAAGUCGUGGUCUUGGUGGUCGGCAUCCACUGGGAAGAUGAGCGUCUCGCCGUACUCGUUGAACAAGCUGGCAACGGCGUGCCGGAUCUUGUCGACCCCCUCGCCGUUGUAGCCGGGCUUGAAGAAGGCCCGCGUGGCCCUCAUCUCCCGGUUCUUCUAGUCCUUCUCCGACAAGGGCUUCUUGAGGGCUUUCUCGCCCUUGUCGACCGCGGAGCUCGUGGAACCCUUCCCUCUCUUGGGGGCCUUGGGCGCCAUGGAGAAUGUGGGUGGCGAUGAACAAGAUUAGGAGCGCAAGGAGGAAUGGGGAUGAGGAAGAUGAACUCGGGGCUAAGUGAUUGCCCCUCAGUGCAGUGGUGGGGUUUUAUAGCACCCCAGCGCUGAGCAACGGUUACAUCCACACCCUACGGGUGCGCUGGGGAUAACUACGUUUUAAGAGGGGAAUGCGAGACGUGGCCUUAACCACCCACGAUUAAGGGGAAGGUUAGGGCGGAAAUCUCGCCCCCACCGCUCCGCUCGUAACGGCGGAGUCCCUGGAGCGGCGCAUCGUCGGGAGCCCGAAACGACUCGGGACCCACGCGUCGGUUAGGACGUAGCCUGACAACCGACCAAGGAUGAUUUCGCCCGGGAACAGGCGUUGCCGGCCCACGCCCGAGGCCUACUGUCGCACCAGUGGCACCCGGGCUACCACCGUUGCUCAAGGGUGGGUCGCCUCACUUGCUUCCCGCAAGGACGGCACCCUGGGCAGCACGGCGCGAGCUGCCUGGGAAGGCACCGGCCCGGCAGGAGCCUGGGGAGGGGGUUGCCGUGGACCAGGACUAGCCGUGCUGCGGGGAUUACCCCAGAAGACAGCGUGAAGACCCCCGUCAGGACGCCCCCCGGGAAGCCCACCUGCCGGGGAGAGUGUUCCCUGGCGCAAGCGUUUACAAUAGGGCCGGUGCCCAGCAAGCAGAGUAUCGACGCCACGUGGCUGCCCGGCAGGCUCCUUUUGCGCAGGGCUGGUCAGAGCGUGGAGUGUGGCACAGGCUGAGCAUUAAAUGCUCCGACAGGGAGGAGGUUACCCGUCUAGUCAACCUGCAGUGAGUAACCCGCAGUGAAUCUAGGGCACGUGUGGCCCUAGCUACAGUGCGUCUCACCGUGCAUGCAUGCCAGCACAGCGAAGGCAGCUGCCUUGGGUCCCUGUUCGACGCGUGUCCUAGGGCGCGUCCCCCAUGCAAACCGUGGCACCUGUAGUAUCCCCUUAGUAUAAAAGGAGGACCCGCGCCACCAGUCAAGGGGUUCCGAUUUCCGAAGGUUAGACUGGAGCUGAGGUUGCAAUCCCUAGAGAUCUAGUCCAGAGGUAGCAAGUAGCCAGUUAGAAAAAAGGGAAGAGAGCGCCCGGGGACUCUCCCGACAACCUUGUAAACACCUGUUCUUUAGUUAAUAAACACUCAGAAGCAGGACGUGGGGUUUUACACCUCCGGGUGGCCCGAACCUGGGUAAACCGACUUGUGCAUUGCAGCGCCCGUCAUUGGCCUCGCUGGCGAUCGCCGGAGCGAUCCCAACGCCCACUGCCGAACCUAAAAGGGGGUGCCUCGCAUCCCCGGUGUCUAAGCCCCGGGCUACGACAGAUGAAAAGUGAGACUAGUAGCACAAGGGUUCACGUAGAGACCCGACUUUGAUUUCAAUGAAACAUAUUCUCCGGUUAUGAUUGGAAUUACAUUCCGAUAUUUAAUCUCAUUGUCUGUUCAAAAUCGUCUAUCUAUGCAGUUGAUGGACGUCGCGACUGCAUAUCUUUAUGGGUCAUUAGAUUCGGAUAUUUACAUGAAGGUUCCAGAUGGCAUCCAAAUUCCGAAUACUAACACAAGACGCAACAUGUACUGUGUAAAGUUGAAUAAAUCUUUAUACAGUUUAAAACAGUCGAGUAGAAUGUGGUACAACCGACUAAGUGAGUUUCUCAUUAAAAAUGGUUACUCUAACAAUGAUGACUGCCCAUGUGUAUUCAUCAAGAAAUCGAAAACAGGAUUUUGCAUUAUCUCUGUAUAUGUUGAUGAUUUAAAUAUCAUUGGCAACAAACAGGAUAUAGAUGAAGCUCGUAAUCAUCUAAUGACGGAAUUUGAAAUGAAAGAUUUGGGUAAAACAAAAUUCCAAUUAGGUUUACAACUUGAGCACCUUUCUUCGGGAAUAUUGGUUCACCAAGCUACAUAUAUCCAGAAAAUCUUGGAGAAAUUUAACAUGGACAAAUCCUAUCCAUGCAAAACAGCUAUGCUAGUUUGAUCUUUAGACGGAGAAAGAUCCAUUCAGACCAAAAAGUGAUGGAGAGGAAAUUUUGGGACCUGAGUUCUCAUAUCUUAGUGCUAUUGGGGCAUUAAUGUAUCUAGCAAAUUGCACCCGGCCGGAUAUUACAUUUGCGGUAAAUUUACUAGCUAGACACAACGUAGCUCCAACAAAACGCCAUUGGGUAGGAGUCAAGCAAGUUUUUCGCUACCUACAAGGCACUAAAGAUCUAGGUCUAUAUUUCCAAAAGGAAAACCAAAACUCUGAUUAAUCGGAUACACUGAUGCUAGCUAUUUAUCUGAUCCCCACAAUGCCAGAUCCCAGACCGGUUUCGUGUUCCUACACGGUGGGACAGCCAUAUCGUGGAAGUAUUCUAAGCAGACUCUAGUGGCUACAUCCACAAAUCAUUCGGAAAUAAUAACUUUAUACGAAGCAUCUCGUGAAAGUGUAUGGCUACGCAGAAUGAUUAACCACAUACAACAAUCAUGUGGUAUUGGUUCAAUUUAAUCACCUACAAUUAUCUAUGAGGAUAAUUCUGCUUGUGUUGCUCAGAUGCAAACAGGUUAUAUAAAAAGCCAUAUAACUAAACAUAUUGCACCUAAACUAUUCUAUCCUCAUGAAUUACAACAAAAUGGGAAGAUAAAUAUCUUGCAAACCAAAUCAUGUGAUAACCUCGCAGAUUUGUUCACUAAGUCCUUACCCAACUCCACAUUUCAGAAAUGUGUAUAUGGGAUUGGUAUGCGACGACUUAAAAUUUUGCAAGCAUCAGGGAGAGUAUUCACCUGAGUUUAACCUGUUCAUAACAUCAUAUUGCACUCUUUUCCUAUUAUGAGUUUUACUCACUAGUUUCUCAUAAAAGGUUUUUAAUGAGACAAUAUUAACAUAAGAUUAUAUGUCAUUUUUUCUAUUUUCCCCACCAAGGUUUUUGUGGAUAAUAUACAAGGCAUAUUUAUUGUUCACAUAAUUCGAUAUGAAUUAUCAAGAAACAAUUUUCAAAAUAUGUUAUACCAUUUUCUCCUUAUUUUCCCAUUGGGUUUUUAAAGGGAGUUUUCAUAACAUAUCAAUAUUAUUAUUAUUUCCUCAAUAUUUUUCCCACGGGGUUUUUGGAGGAAAUUACAAGAUUACAAGGUUCCAUGAUGAUUCAAGAAUAUACACAUCAACGUAGCAAAUUGAUCAAGGGGGAGUGUUGAGAAUAAUUAGUUAUGAUCAAUUAGGAUUAAUUAUUAGUUAAUUAAUAGUUAAUUAGGCAGUUAACCUUCUAACCGUUCGCGUCCCAAUUUUCCCAAAACUAGAACGCGAGUGCCAAAACUUGGGACACCAAUGCAUGUAUUGGUGUCCCUUCCCCUUGUAUAUAUAUGAUCAUCAUUCAAUGGAAAAAACACACAAUCAUUCAUUCUCAAUCAUUUCAUAACACCCUUCUUGCUUGAAGGCACUCCCCUUCCGACUAAAAUUAUCAGAAGCUCUUUGCCCUUAUAAAUAAGAUUAAUUCAUCUCAAGAAUUAAAAAAUCUACUAAUUCAUCUGAAUAUUCAAAUCGACCAGAAUUAACUCCAACACGCGAGGAGGCUUUGACUGUUGAAUUAUUAAGCCACCCGGUGCAUUUUAUUUACUAGUAAUUGUGCAGCGCACAUGUUGACUUAUAUAUUUUCAUUAUUUCUGAACUUGUGUGUUUUCUCGCAACUAUUGUCAAGGCUCAUUGCUAUGGCGUUACUGCCCCCUCCGUUUCUAAAUUCUUUUCGUUGUUUUAUUGUGGUUCAAUAGUAGAUCACAGGCUCACGGCAAUCCAGAUUGCACCAAAGAGGGAUCUUUUUAUUACUUUCUCAAAACAACUUGCAACAUAAAAUCUCACUAAACAAACUUAACUUUCAAUAUCUACUUAAUAACCCAAAACUACACACAUGUGCCAUUUUCCUUCUAUGGGGGUUGUCCAGAGUUAAAAACAUAAGUCAUGUAAAUUGUCAGUAUAAUUUUCUGCCAAAUUGACAAAAAAAAAA
rnacentral:lncRNA from 1 species